CCUACGGGAGGCUGCAGUGAGGAAUAUUGGUCAAUGGACGAGAGUCUGAACCAGCCAAGUAGCGUGAAGGAUGACUGCCCUAUGGGUUGUAAACUUCUUUUAUAAAGGAAUAAAACGAGGCACGUGUGCCUUUUUGCAUGUACUUUAUGAAUAAGGAUCGACUAACUCCGUGCCAGCAGCCGCGGUACUACGGAGGAUCCGAGCGUUAUCCGGAUUUAUUGGGUUUAAAGGGAGCGUAGAUGGGUUGUUAAGUCAGUUGUGAAAGUUUGCGGCUCAACCGGAAAAUUGCAAUUGAUACUGGCAGGCUAGAGUACAGUUGAGGGAGGCGGAAUUCGUGGUGUAGCGGUGAAAUGCUUAGAGAUCACGAAGAACCCCGAUGGCGAAGGCAGCUUACUAAACAGUGACUGACAUUGAGGCGCGAAAGCGUGGGGAGCAAACAGGAUUAGAUACCCCUGUAGUC
rnacentral:rRNA from 1 species